UGUAAUGUAACUUCACUUGUAGACAUUGAUGUACUUUCUUGUGAAUUUUGGGGGAACUUGUGAGGUGAAUUCAUAUUUUAAAACGGCAUCCCAUUUCCUCUAGACCACUAUAGGGACUAGGGGGCCGUUUUGGGUUGCUUCCUGUGGUUCGGCAGAGAUGGUAUGGUUGCUGUGGUUACAGAGCGCUCUUCAGCAGACUGACUGUUGAGUUCGAUGGUUCAAAUUUAAAUGAACCUUUAUUGAAAUAGGCAAGUCAGGAAAGAACAAAAUGUUAUUUACAAUGACUGCCUACCCCCCUCCCCUAACCCGGACGAUGCUGGGCCAAACCCUAUGGGACUCCCGAUCAUGGCCGGUUGUGUGACAGCCUGGAAACGAACCAGAGUCUGUAGUGACGCCUCUAGCACUGCAAUACAGUGCCUUUGACCGCUGCGCCACUCGGGAGUUUAACAGUGGUCAUACAUACUGUAAGACACUGCUAGAUAAAAGCUAUAGCUUGGAUACAGUAUAUAGCUGUAUAGUUACUCUGUGGCAGUGUUGCUUCACAUCCAAAUCAUCUGAUAUCAGUGAAAGGCUGCCAAUGGCGCAAGGGUAGGGUUGUGGGGUUGGAAAUGGAACCAGGCCACCUGUUAUAGUGGGGUCGUCCUCAGCUGUCUGUCAUCCACCACCCUCUUCAUGCAAACAUCCGUCUCCGAUUCCUUUAACUGUGUAGGAGUCCCAAAUAGCACCCUAUCCCCUAUCUAGUGCACUACUUUUGACCAGGAUCCAUAGGGCUGGUCAAAAGAAGUGCAUCAGAUAGGUGCCAUUUGGAAUGCUGACUGUGACUUGUAAAUCAGGGUUGGGGGCUCAGUUCCAUUUCAAUUCGGGAGAUUAACUGAAAUUCCAAUUUGCGUUAAAGUGGAAUGUGAGUCGACUUCCUAAAAUGGCAUUGACCCCAGUCCUGCUUGUUAUUGACAUCUGUGUUUGUGCCUUCCUUCAGUACAGAACAAAUGCCCCAGAAACAUCCAAUAAAUUGCUUAGUCAUCCA
ensembl:lncRNA